GAGCUUUCGCUCUUAGUGCUAAGCUUUCCUGAGAGACGAAUAGCUUUUCUUUGCUCUCUCCCUGUCAAAUUGGGCGCCAAAAAAUCAUAUGCAGACAAUUGUGUACUGAGGGUUGCAACAUAUGAUAUUCAUAUGUGUACUUGCACACAUGUGUACAUACGUACUAUAUGCAGAAAGCCGUAUGCACUCAUAGUGACUGAGAACCGUCGGCACCAAAUUGGAUUAGUGGCUGAGAGAGAGAGAGACAGUGGCGUGACCCAGAGAACGCAUGGCAACGUAAUAUUUCCGGCGUGCAAUAUCCGUAUAGCCAAAUCAAACUUUACUUUACUAUACAUAGAUUUGACCACAUAUGUAAAAUUUUGAUCCCGGAGCCCGGAUUCCCGUGUCCGUUACCGACAAGAGAACACACGUAACUGCAAUUAACCGUAAAUUGCGAAGAGGAACAGCAGAAAACAAAGCGACUGAGCGACAGUAGCAUACAAAAAACAGAAGACUAACACAAGUCCGGAUCGCCCUGCCGAUUAGCAACUGCGGUCCCCAUCCAUGUACAUUGCACUAGCCGAAUGCAGAAAACAACUUAAUUACACAUGCUAGCAAUACUAAUGUGCCUAGACAGAUAGUCAUCAAUUACGAGGUGGUGUGUGUAUAAAAAUCCUAUCUUUUUAAAUUGGCAAUCAAAACGGAGAGCGCUACUAUUGCCUUGAUAAGAUUGCGCUUUGUCCAGACGAUUUCAUGGCUUACAGAUUAACCAUAACCUGCCGGUAAAUUAUUUAUUCUUAAAACCAAAGUAUUGAUUUUCAUAUCAUUCAACAUUAAAUAAAAUGUCAAUGGUCUAAGGUAAAUUUAUAUUUACCUAAUAUUAGCCUAAAGCAGGCCGUUCCAAAAGAAAACUUUCGCCGAUCUCGCCCAGUAAUGUAAAAUAUAAAAUGUACUGCAUUUAUUUACAGCUACAUACAUAAGAAUCUGGUUCAAGGUUAUUUCGGUUUUUAUAUUAAAGAACAUACUUUUUUUGUAUCAUUUUAGUAUUGGGGCAUUAUCAUACAUUGUUUUGAAUUAAUUUGUUCAGAUUUUCGAUUUUUUUUGAUAUAUUGUUUUGUCUUUAAUUUAUGAAAUGUAACCUUAAUAAUUCCCCACAAUUUUUAAACAAGAUAAGAAAAAAACAUGACGCUGCUGUCUUGCUGAGUCGAUAAUGUGGCGUCACAUCCGCUGCAGCAGGAACAGGUGAUCGACGGCGGAAUUGUUGGUUCACGCCCACGGGAAAUAAUUCCAGCAACCCCACCAUUCAUACGCCGCCGAAUCAAACGCUGGUCUUCAGCUUCGAGAAGCAGGACUUCUGUAACCUACGCUUUGCCAGAAGCUGAGUCGUAUCCGGUUUCCCCCCGCCACACGGAGUCCUAUCCAAGCAUUACCGAGGCGUAUUCGAGACAUACCGAGGACUAUCCCAGCUAGACAGAAUCGUAUCACCUAACGAGCCAUCGUUAUCCUUCGACAUGGCCAGCGACGACAAGGACUUUGACUAUGGCUACUAGAUUCUAGAUAAUUAUCGUUGCUGUUAGGUUUAAGGAUUUACGCGAUUAUAUAUUAAGACAGUAGAUACAAAUGUUUUCCACAUGUUUAUUUAUUAUUACUAGGCUAAGU
rnacentral:sRNA from 15 species